rnacentral:rRNA from 1 species
GACGAACGCUGGCGGCGUGCUUAACACAUGCAAGUCGAACGGAAAGGCCCCCUUGUGGGGUACUCGAGUGGCGAACGGGUGAGUAACACGUGAGUAACCUACCCUUGACUUUGGGAUAACUUCAGGAAACUGGGGCUAAUACCGGAUAGGAGCUCCUGCUGCAUGGUGGGGGUUGGAAAGUUUCGGCGAUUGGGGAUGGACUCGCGGCUUAUCAGCUUGUUGGUGGGGUAGUGGCUCACCAAGGCUUUGACGGGUAGCCGGCCUGAGAGGGUGACCGGCCACAUUGGGACUGAGAUACGGCCCAGACUCCUACGGGAGGCAGCAGUGGGGAAUAUUGCACAAUGGGCGGAAGCCUGAUGCAGCAACGCCGCGUGCGGGAUGACGGCCUUCGGGUUGUAAACCGCUUUCGCCUGUGACGAAGCGUGAGUGACGGUAAUGGGUAAAGAAGCACCGGCUAACUACGUG